rnacentral:rRNA from 1 species
UGCCAGCCGCCGCGGUAAUACGUAGGGUGCGAGCGUUAAUCGGAAUUACUGGGCGUAAAGCGCGCGUAGGUGGUUUGUUAAGUCAGCUGUGAAAGCCCCGGGCUCAACCUGGGAAUUGCAGUUGAUACUGGCCGACUAGAGUACGAGAGAGGGAGGUAGAAUUCCAUGUGUAGCGGUGAAAUGCGUAGAUAUAUGGAGGAAUACCAGUGGCGAAGGCGGCCUCCUGGCCCGAUACUGACACUGAGGUGCGACAGCGUGGGUAGCAAACAGGAUUAGAUC